GACAAGAGUAAGCAUGAUAUACUUUCGACAUCCGGCAAUAUCACAAAGCAAUUUUCACAAUCAAGAGAGAGUAAUAAAAAAAAUUAAUUAUUUGUUAAAAACAUAUAAAAAAAGUGACUUUGUUUAUUCGAAUAUACUAAAAAAAUUACUCCAAUCAAAGAAUAACAUUCCUUAUGAAUAUACAUGUUGUUCAAUGGAAAUAACAACAUUCAAAGGAUGUAAGUUUGUACGCUUUCAAGAUAUUGAUGUUGUUCCAUAUUAUUUAAUAAAUUUAACUAAUUAUAAUUUAAAAUUAAGACAAGUAGGUAUUUAUAAUCAUUCUGAAGUAUUACAUAAAAUAAAUAACAAACAAAAACGAAAACAAAAUAUAAAACUGUUCGAUGAAUUAUUUAAAAAUUACGCAUUCAACUUUUCUUUUUACAAUCCAUAUAAAGAACAUAAAUUGAAAAUUGAUAUAGUGUUAUCGAAUCGAGUCAGUGCUAGUAGCGGUAGCAACCGAAACGAUAAAAACUGGAACGGCAACAACAACAACAAUAACAACAGCAACACUAAUACCAAUGCGAAUACAAAAAAAAAACAAAACAAAAAAAACAAAAAAAACAAAAAGAAAAAAAUGAAGCAGAUUAAACAGAAGCACUUGGAAUAUGUCAAUAUGAUAAAAGAAAACUUAAAAAAUGAAAUAAAUUAUUUAACCAUGAUUGUAACUAAGUACAUCAGAAACACAUAUGAUACAACAAUUAUUAAAAAAAAAAUAUCUUACUUGCAACAAUUUUUACAAAAAUUUGAUAAAUUAAAUGAUGAAAAUGUUAAUAUAUUAAAUUUAGAAAAAGCAAGUAAUGUGAGUUUAUUAAAAUUGAAAAAAAGUGGUACCGAUAGUUUUGUUUAUAUUUUAUGUACAAAAAAAACCCAUAACGGGAAAACCAUUUUUACAUUUGAAAAUUAUAACGAACUAAUAAAGGAUGUAUUAGAUUAUAAUAAAUUAACUUCAUAUUCUUAUAAUCACUCAUUUCUAAAAAAAUUCGAUUUGCUUAAAAAUAAAAUAAAAAACGUAUACAAAAAAAACAAAGUGUAUAACAAAAGUAGCAUCAUUAAUAGUAAUAGUAUUAAACCUAGUAAAAAGCAAUAUAACACCCCAUUAACUAACAUUAGGAAAAACCAUGUCAAUCUAAAUCAUUACCUGAGUGAAAAAAACCAUAAUAACAUAAUGACCCGUCCCAGCAUGAACUACUUACAUAAUUUAUUUAAAAAAAGGAAAAACAUAAAAGCACCAGGAACAGAAUUACGCAUCCCGUAUAUUAUUUCGGAUAUAUAUAAAAAAAAAACUAUCAACGGAGAAGAAGAAGAAGAAAAAAAAAAAAAAGUUAUUUUAAAUUUUAACAUAUUCAUGCAUUUUAUUUUUAAAGGAAUAGGAAUAAGUAUAAGUAACCAUAAUUUGGAAGAAAUAUUAUAUAUAUCUAUAGAAAAUAUGUUAGCAAUUUAUAAGCAAAUAAACGAUAAAGAAUUGUUUCAUUUAAAUAUCCAAUGGUUGCAAAUAGAUAACCACACAAAUAACAGUUAUUAUAAAAAUGUAUUACUCCCAAUAAUGGAAGCAAAGAAUAAUAAUAAUUACUUGUAUAAAUCAACUAACGACGAAACAGACUAUACAGACAUGGAUAGCAAUAUGUACAAUAAUAAUAAUAAUAGUGAAAUAAUUAAAGCAGGAAAAUUAAAUAAACAAAAUACGACCAAAAGAAUUGUUCCGUACGAUAUGGCAUCUGAAACCAACACAAAAACGGUAAAAAAAAAAUACCUAUGUUGUAACUUAUUUAAAGGCAAAAAAAAAAGAAACAAAAAUCAUAGUGCUGAUGAAAGUUUUAACAAUUUUAGCACCACUAAAAACAGUUGUUUUAGUUAUUCCAAAAGUUAUUCUAACAAUGUGUUCGAUACUUUAUACCAAAAUAAAAAUAACAUAACCGACUCUUGCUCUUAUCCUUGUUCAAUCUUCGACACCAGUCAAUUAUUUAUCAGUUUGAACAAAAAAGACCCUUUAUACCAUUCAUAUAAAUAUCUUAUUCCACCUUGUUUUUAUUUAAAAUCUGACACAAUAUUAAAUGUGACAAUAAUCAAGCAAAGAAGAGGAAACAUGAAAAACUUUUUAGAAUUGUCAGAAGUAAAUAUAAACAUCGCAUCGAUGAGUAUAAACCUUGAUUCAUAUUUUAUUAUCGAAAUAUUAAAAGUAUUUGAUGAACUGCUGAAUAUAUUAGAAUACGAUGUAGAUAAUUAUAAUUCACUUAAUCUAGAAAAAAAUAUUGAAUUAAGAGAUACUGAUUUUGAUAGUUUAGAAUAUAAACAAAACAUGGGCCCAAUUGAAGAAUUAGUUAAGCAUCAUAUUCUAAAGGAUUAUUAUUUAUAUGAAAAAAUUGCGAAUUUUAAUUUUAACGAAAUUAAAGAGUUAGGAAAUAUAAAUCAGUAUAAAAUGGUUAACUCGAAAAAUGUAUAUGUGCAAAAAAGUUAUGAACAAAAAAGCCAAAACGACAUACUUGACUUGCAACCAUAUUUAAUUAUGAUGGGUGAGUAUAAUAAAAGUUUAAAAUUGAAAAAUAUGGAGAGUGAAACUAGUAAAAGUGAAAAGGAAAAACUUACGCAUUAUGAAAGUGUGAACAAUAGAGAGAUUAAAUACAAGGCCGGUGUGAGUAACAAUCCAAACACAAGUACACCUAUCAAAUAUCGCAACUACGAUUCCAUACACAUCAGCGAAAUACAAAUGAACGACAAGCUGGACAAACAAAAAGAGUAUACCCCUUUCUAUACCAUUAAUGAUGAUGAUACAACUGUACUAGAUAUUACCUCUAAGACGGCUAAGGAAAAACAAAAAGGGUUAGACUUAGACUUAGACUUAGGGUUAGGGUUAGACUUAUUCAAAAAAGAUAGUACAAAUGUUAAAAACUAUUCAGAAAUAUGUACGAACCGAUAUACAGAAUUAAUAAGCGCAAUCGGAGCUGCAAACGGUGCUUUUCCAUAUGAUACAUUCACAGAAAACAAAUUAAAUUAUUUAAAGGAAUGUGAAAAAGACUAUAAAGAGUUAUUAGAAAAAAGAAAAGAAAUUUUAAAAAAAAUGCAAAAUAUUAAUAUAAAAAAUAAUAUAUUAAGUUUGGAUAAAAUUUUUAUAUCCAAAUUAAAAAUAAACGAAAUAAAACUGAUUAUAAAUAUAAAAAAUCGAAGCUUAAGUUAUGACAAGAAAAGUGAAAUCAUGGAUUCAAACAUAAUGAAUGCUUUAUCUAUUUUAAUUAUGAACAUCCCAAAUAUUAGUGAUGCCAAUUUAUAUUUUGAAAAAGAAAUAAAAAAAAAUAUGUGUGGCUCAUUGUAUGUAUUAAUAUUUAAUGAAAUUAUGAAUGAUUAUAUAAACUCAGGUAUGAAUCAAAUGUUUAAUGUAUUAGGUGCGAUAGACCUUAUAGGUAAUCCAUUACUUAUAUAUAAGCACUGGAAAAAAGGAUAUGAAAGUUGUAUCAAAGAUAUAAAAAAAAGUGUUAAUGUAUGUUCUUUCCCUUUAUUAUUUUGUAUAGUAUUAUUAAAUAUUCUGGCUGAAUUUAGUAGAAGUAUAUUAUCUGGUAUACUGGAAGGAAUUAGUAGAUUUUUUGGUAGCUGGAGCACUUGUUUUGAACGAUUUUCCAAAAAUGCAGACAAAUUGAGUAUCAUUACUAAUAGUAAUUUUAUGCAACAUGAGAUAACAGAUCAACCUUCUAACUGUGGUGAAGGUAUAUACUACGGGCUCAAAUCUUUGUUCCAGAUUUUGGCUAUUAGUUCUUUUAACAUAUUUUAUAAACCAUUUAAAGCAGUACAAAAAAGUAAAGUUAUGCGAAAAAGUGAAAAUGGUAGACUUAAAAAUUGGUAUUCUACUUGUAUUCUUAUAUUAUAUUCUUUGUUUAGUGCCUUUAGUAGCCUGUUCUGUGGCUUACUCAGCAGUAUCUUUUCCUUUUAUACAUUUGUAUGUAUUGGAACACUAAACCAAAUACAAACGUUAACUGUUAAAUCGGUUAUUAGACCACACAAAAAAAGUUUAGUUAAAGAAUAUGCCAAAUUUCUUAAUUAUGAAUACCCAAUCUCUUUUUCAAAUCAUGUAAUAAAUGAAAAAAAAAAAAAAAAAAAAAGAACUUCUAAAAAAAAAUAUUAUAGCUAUUAUUCUUUUAUACACAAUUAAAGAUGACAACAACCCAAAUAAUAUUAAAAACUUUUUAUGGGUUAGUAAUAAAGAAGUAGGAUAUUGUGAGAGGGAUAAAUUG
ensembl:lncRNA